rnacentral:misc_RNA from 1 species
GAUGAAGAACGUAGCGAAAUGCGAUAAGUAAUGUGAAUUGCAGAAUUCAGUGAAUCAUCGAAUCUUUGAACGCACAUUGCGCCCCCUGGUAUUCCGGGGGGCAUGCCUGUCCGAGCGUCAUUACAACCCUCAAGCUCAGCUUGGUGUUGGGCCCCGCCGCCCCGGCGGGCCCUAAAGUCAGUGGCGGUGCCGUCCGGCUCCGAGCGUAGUAAUUCUUCUCGCUCUGGAGGUCCGGUCGUGUGCUCGCCAGCAACCCCCAAUUUUUUUCAGGUUGACCUCGGAUCAGGUAGGGAUACCCGCUGAUCUUAAGCAUAUCAAUAAGCGGAGGA